GUCAGCACCUGUGACAAGUCACCAUAUUGAAAAGUCCAGUGUAAUGAAGGUAUUGAUACGUCUAAACAGCAACAAUCAAUUGACAUGAUAGACGAACUUAUGAACGAUUAAGGACUGCAUUUCGUGGACGUUGACGAUGUCAUGGUAGCUCCAAAAGUUUGUGAACAAAUCAAAGAAAUAUUAGCAUGUGUUUCCAACAUCAAAAAGAAACUUGUAUGACACGUUAUGUAUCUGCCAUUACACAGUUGACAUCCAGUGACAUUUACAACUUUUUGUUGUGCUGUAGGAUUACCUAUUGAGCGAAUCAGCAGGAAAGAAGAAGAAGCACAAAUGAUCAGGAGAACGAAAGUCAGGCUAACAAUGAACCAAAGGUAGCCUGUGGUGUCUCCCUGCCAUCAAGCAACGACUUGUCAGCUGCACCAUCUACUUCUUCUGAGUUGGAGUACAUUGACUUUCACAAAAACUGUGCAGGAGGCACGCAGAAAGAAAGGUUCAUGUGAAAUGGCCAGAUGCCUCAUCAGGUGCUUUUUCACGCAUGAAGAUCUCGCUACCUGCAGCGUGUUGAAAGCGAAAAAUGGACAUCACGAUCGCCCGCGUCCCAAUGAAGAACAGCUGCAACUGCUCCUAGGGCUUGUGAAUUUCAUACGUACGACUGUGCGUAUGGUCAUGUGGGGUACUAAUUAUACAAACAGGUCCUGCGCUCAGCUGGGAUCACUACGUGGCGCAGCUCGUUUUCCUUUCAUUGGCUAUGGAAGUUUGUGCCUCACCAGCGUUUUGAACCACUUUGUCAGUCCUUCACAUCGAGAAUUCUUGUACAUAGAGGGAUCGACAGGCUGACUCGUUGCACAAGCCUGAUGCAUGUGUCUCACUGAAUGAGCAAAUGAUCAAAGCCAAAGUCCGCUUUGCCUUCAAUGUGACACAUACUAACAUGUGUAUGGUUUCUAUGCCAUGUACAUCGGCAGCAGCAGCUGGCCAUGGGAAAGGAAAAGCCAAAUGUUGUCAAGCAGCUCUUCAUCUGGAAGGCACGGUCACCGACAUUGUGGUCUAUCAGACAGUCAGGCAACUAGUGGAUACGCUCCUUGAUCAAGAGUACACAGUCUCAUUGAUCAAUUUUACACAUCGGGAUCUUUGUUCACGGACCGGAUUCCACGGCUUGUGUUAUAGUGCAGCUGAAACGGAAAGAGCUACCUCAAGAAUUUAAAAUCUAAAGGAAUUUGAAGAAUUACCUAAAGGUUUCUUUGGUAUCACAGAGUGGGUCCAUUUGUACCAUGCAGUGGGCCAACAAAAAGGUUGUCACCAUAUACAUGAUGACCAAUGUUCACGCUGGACACCAGCAUCCACCUUGCCAUCAUUUCAACAGAACACUUGAAUAAUAGGAUGGAUACCGUAGGAUCAUCGUUUCCAGACCGGAGGCUAUCGCUGCUUACAAGAAGCAUAUGGGGCACAUUGAUAUCAGAUCAAAUGAUGAAAUUAUUACAAGGUCCUCUAUAGAAUGAUUCAUUGGAAGCCUCACUUACUGUAAGGAGAUCUUUCUGCACAUGGUUGACUUGGCUGCUCUGAAUGCAUACAUCAUGUUUGCCUCCCUCCAACAUCAACAUCCCAAUGACAAUCCUCUGAAACGAGGAGGGAGGUAUUCGCAGAAAGACUUCGUAUGUGAUUGAGCUAAUACAAAGAUUGGCAAAUAUUUUAUGACCAGCAGGCCGACAGAGUGUCACUGUUUUAUGUGGCAUCUAGGAAGGAUUUGGCAGUGGGUGUACACUUAAUGUGAUAUAUCGGCGGCUGUACAAGCAGCAAUAGCGAUUUGGUCUUGGCUAGGAACCACCGCAGGAAGAAGUAACAGAGCUGCAAGAAGUAGAAAUGAAUCUGGCAAGAGCCAGACCUUGAUUACCACCUUUACUCUACCACCACUGCCAUUGCUGCCACACCCAAUCCUCACGUAUCGAUCCUGAUUGUUGGUGACUAAAGAGCAUGUUGCAUUGUCUGCAAUUUGGAGGUUCAGAAAUUCUGCUUGUCGCCCUGAAUUGGAUAUGGUUUUGAAAAUUAUUUUUCUGUGGUACUGUAUUUUGUUUCUUUCUGUCUUUCUCAAUUGGUUAUGGAUAGUGGGGUAAAGUAAUUAGUUGAGAAUGAUGUAGUGUGUAGUUGAAAUUAUAGUGGUAACACUGGUUGUGUUGACACUGUUGGAGAUUAUAGUAUCUAUUACUAUAGUUUAUUGACUAAUACAAUUAUAUGGGGCUAA